rnacentral:rRNA from 1 species
UACGUAGGGGGCAAGCGUUGUCCGGAUUUAUUGGGCGUAAAGAGCUCGUAGGUGGUUUGUCGCGUUGUUCGUGAAAACCUGAGGCUUAACCUUGGGCGUGCGGGCGAUACGGGCAGACUGGAGUACUGCAGGGGAGACUGGAAUUCCUGGUGUAGCGGUGGAAUGCGCAGAUAUCAGGAGGAACACCAAUGGCGAAGGCAGCUCGCUGGGACGGUACUGACGCUGAGGCGCGAAAGCGUGGGGAGCAAACAGG